rnacentral:rRNA from 1 species
GACGAACGCUGGCGGCGUGCCUAAUACAUGCAAGUUGAGCGCUGAAGGUUGGUACUUGUACCAACUGGAUGAGCAGCGAACGGGUGAGUAACGCGUGGGGAAUCUGCCUUUGAGCGGGGGACAACAUUUGGAAACGAUUGCUAAUACCGCAUAAAAACUUUAAACACAAGUUUUAAGUUUGAAAGAUGCAAUUGCAUCACUCAAAGAUGAUCCCGCGUUGUAUUAGCUAGUUGGUGAGGUAAAGGCUCACCAAGGCGAUGAUACAUAGCCGACCUGAGAGGGUGGUCGGCCACAUUGGGACUGAGACACGGCCCAAACUCCUACGGGAGGCAGCAGUAGGGAAUCUUCGGCCAUGGACGAAAGUCUGACCGAGCAACGCCGCGUGAGUGCAGAAGGUUUUCGGAUCGUAAAACUCUGUUGGUAGAGAAGAACGUUGGUGAGAGUGGAAAGCUCAUCAAGUGACGGUAACUACCCAGAAAGGGACGGCUAACUACGUG